GAUGAACGCUGGCGGCGUGCCUAAUACAUGCAAGUCGAGCGAACAGACGAGGAGCUUGCUCCUCUGACGUUAGCGGCGGACGGGUGAGUAACACGUGGAUAACCUACCUAUAAGACUGGGAUAACUUCGGGAAACCGGAGCUAAUACCGGAUAAUAUAUUGAACCGCAUGGUUCAAUAGUGAAAGAGGUUUUUCCGUUCCCUUAUGGUUGAUCCGCGCCGCAUUAGCUAGUUGGUAAGGUAACGGCUUACCAAGGCGACGAUGCGUAGCCGACCUGAGAGGGUGAUCGGCCACACUGGAACUGAGACACGGUCCAGACUCCUACGGGAGGCAGCAGUAGGGAAUCUUCCGCAAUGGGCGAAAGCCUGACGGAGCAACGCCGCGUGAGUGAUGAAGGUCUUCGGAUCGUAAAACUCUGUUAUUAGGGAAGAACAAAUGUGUAAGUAACUAUGCACGUCUUGACGGUACCUAAUCAGAAAGCCACGGCUAACUACGUG
rnacentral:rRNA from 1 species